rnacentral:rRNA from 1 species
AGUGAACGCUGGCGGUAGGCCUAACACAUGCAAGUCGAACGGCAGCACAGUAAGAGCUUGCUCUUACGGGUGGCGAGUGGCGGAUGGGUGAGGAAUACAUCGGAAUCUACUUUUUCGUGGGGGAUAACGUAGGGAAACUUACGCUAAUACCGCAUACGACCUACGGGUGAAAGCAGGGGAUCUUCGGACCUUGCGCGAUUGAAUGAGCCGAUGUCGGAUUAGCUAGUUGGCGGGGUAAAGGCCCACCAAGGCGACGAUCCGUAGCUGGUCUGAGAGGAUGAUCAGCCACACUGGAACUGAGACGCGGUCCAGACUCCUACGGGAGGCAGCAGUGGGGAAUAUUGGACAAUGGGCGCAAGCCUGAUCCAGCCAUACCACGUGGAUGAAGAAGGCCUUCGGGUGGUAAAGCCCUUUUGUUGGGAAAGAAAGGCAUCAGGUUAAUACCCCGCUGUUCUGACGGUACCCAAAAAAUAAGCACCGGCUAACUUCGUG